AAAAGUAUGGAAAAUGAACACCAGAAAAGCAUUACAAUCUGCAAAAAAUGCAAGACGGUGGAGUGGAAGAAUUGUGGAUAUACAUGGGCAGUAUCCCAGAACGGAGAUGGAAGAAACAGCAGAGUAUGCAGGAGUAACCAAGCGCAGGCUAAUAUUUCCAAAAGAAGGACUUGGAGCUGCUGAUACACGACACACCAGGAGAGUCUGUGGCCUUUGGAAAUGAAUCGCCUUUAAAAAGGAAUGACCAGGAUGACCUGAAGCAGGUGAAGAGGCAGUCAGCCCAGCUCACUUUUUCCUUCUGUGCAGUGUCAUCAUAAAACUCUUCACUGUUUUUCAUCUGUUGUGACCACACAGUUAAGAAAGGUAGGUGCAAGUCCUGCUUAUUGUAAAAUGGUACAACUGAGAAGCCUAAGUUG
rnacentral:lncRNA from 1 species